AGAUUGAACGCUGGCGGCAUGCUUUACACAUGCAAGUCGAACGGCAGCACGGGGGCAACCCUGGUGGCGAGUGGCGAACGGGUGAGUAAUGCAUCGGAACGUAUCCUUGAGUGGGGGAUAACGCAGACGAAAGUUGUGCUAAUACCGCAUAAGCUCUGAGGAGGAAGGCGGGGACCGAAGCCUCGCGCUGAAGGAGCGGCCGAUGUCCGAUUAGCUAGUUGGUGAGGUAAGCUUACCAAGGCGACGAUCGGUAGCUGGUCUGAGAGGAUGAUCAGCCACACGUGGGACUGAGACACCGGCCCAGACCUCCGUACGGGAGGCAGC
rnacentral:rRNA from 1 species